UACGGAGGGGGCAAGCGUUGUUCGGAGUUACUGGGCGUAAAGCGCGCGUAGGCGGUGCGGUAAGUCAGGGGUUAAAGGCUGCAGCUCAACUGCAGUAAGGCCUUUGAUACUAUCGCGCUAGAGUACCAGAGAGGAUGGCGGAAUUCCCGGUGUAGCGGUGAAAUGCGUAGAUAUCGGGAGGAAGGCCGGUGGCGAAGGCGGCCCUCUGGGCCUGUACUGACACUGAGGUGCGAGAGCGUGGGGAGCAAACAGG
rnacentral:rRNA from 1 species